GGGGGUAUAGCUCAGUCUGGUAGAGCAACUGCCUUUUAAGCAGAUGGUCGCAGGUUCGAAUCCUGCUGCCCCCA
rnacentral:tRNA from 1 species